rnacentral:rRNA from 1 species
AUUGAACGCUGGCGGAAUGCUUUACACAUGCAAGUCGAGCGGCAGCGCGGCCUUCGGGCUGGCGGCGAGCGGCGAACGGGUGAGUAAUGCAUCGGAACAUGCCCAGUCGUGGGGGAUAACACUUCGAAAGAAGUGCUAAUACCGCAUACGUCCUGAGGGGGAAAGCGGGGGAUCGCAAGACCUCGCGCGAUUGGAGUGGCCGAUGUCAGAUUAGCUAGUUGGUGGGGUAAAGGCCUACCAAGGCGACGAUCUGUAGCUGGUCUGAGAGGAUGAUCAGCCACACUGGGACUGAGACACGGCCCAGACUCCUACGGGAGGCAGCAGUGGGGAAUUUUGGACAAAGGGGGCAACCCUGAUCCAGCCAUGCCGCGUGAGUGAAGAAGGCCUUCGGGUUGUAAAGCUCUUUCGGCAGGAACGAAACGGUGGGCUCUAACAUAGUCCGCUAAUGACGGUACCUGAAGAAGAAGCACCGGCUAACUACGUG